GGUUGGGAAAGUCUUGUCCGAUGCUGGGGUGGUGUAAGAAGUGCUUGCUCGCCAGAGCUUUCGGGAGUUCAGGCUGCACUGUCCAUACACAGGGACUCCUCCCUCAUCUCCAUUUAUCGUUCUUUCAGCGAGGCCAGGAUGACGGCCACAGGGGAGAUGUGUGCCCUUGAACUUCCCCGAGCGAGUAGUCAGUCACCUUUCAGAUAAAGCCAGACGAUGACAGACUGGCUCUGUUUGUAGAAGAAUUUGGUUAAGGGGAUGAAAAUGAAGGGUGAUAGAAGAAACUAAUACGCACACAGUUACUCUUUUUAACAGCUCCAGGGAACAGGAAUUUCCAGAUCUGCCAUUCGUUGGCAACUGUUCCCCAACCUUUGUCAUUGGGAAACACCUUUAUGAAUGUAGGAUUGGGGUCAGCCUUCAUGCCUACUGCCCUUGUUGUAUCUGAGAGUAGCAUGACCUCUUUAUGUGUAAAUUCAUACCAUAACAUCCCCCACCACCAGGUUUUGAGUUCUUACCCUCUCCCCAGUAGUGUCAGACACUGGGUGUAUGUUAUCAAUACAGAUGUGUUAAGCAGUGGGUCUUCAACUUACAGAUAAGGAAGGUCAAGGUUUAUCCCGGGUCACGGAGGGAGUACAUGGCAGAGGUUAUACUGAUAUACCUAAUUCUACGUCGUAUAUAGUCAACAUGUAUUCCUGAACA